AGGUUGAAAACAUCAUGAGAUGAAGGACAUUUCAUUUACAAGAACUGUGGAAGAACCAGGGAAGCCAGAAGGCCAGGCAGGGCUGCCCUCCCAGAGAGAAGCAGUUACAGUAGAAGACUGCACCUUCCAGGGAGCUGUACAGAGCAGAGAUGCGCACACGUUUAAAGCAGGACCCCUGAGCAUGAGGGGUGCAGUGGGGACGCAGCUAACAGAUGACAGCAGAAGCAUCCCUAAUUGGCC
rnacentral:lncRNA from 1 species